GUCCAGGGAUGGGAAACGAACCCACAAUGUUCCGCUUACCGGGCAGAUGCCAUGUACACUAGGCUACCCUGGA
rnacentral:tRNA from 1 species